rnacentral:rRNA from 1 species
UACGGAGGGAGCUAGCGUUGUUCGGAAUUACUGGGCGUAAAGCGCACGUAGGCGGCUUUGUAAGUUAGAGGUGAAAGCCCGGGGCUUAACUCCGGAACUGCCUUUAAGACUGCAUCGCUUGAAUCCAGGAGAGGUGAGUGGAAUUCCGAGUGUAGAGGUGAAAUUCGUAGAUAUUGGGAGGAACACCAGUGGCGAAGGCGGCUCACUGGACCGGAACUGACGCUGAGGCGCGAAGGCGUGGGGAGCGAACGGG